rnacentral:lncRNA from 10 species
ACACAGGCGCACCCACAGGCACCAGAGCUGCCCCUCAGCCAGGCUCCGGAAGCCUCCUCCUCCCUCUUGUGUCUGAGCACUGGGGAGGGGGCUAGGAACCGAGUCCAGGAGGCCUCAGGAAAAGAAGGGGAAGGGACCGAGCCGGACUCCACAGCAUUUGCUUGGCACCCGCUGUGGAGACGUCAAAGCCGCCAGGACCAGUCAAAGUAAUAUGCCUGCGACCGGCACAUGGACUUUUAUUUCUUCUCCCUCCACGCUCCAGAGCUGCUCCUGCGGCGUGGAGAGAUAAAUAUUUUAAAUAGCGACACUUUGGCGAUGCACGGUUAUGCAAGACAAGGAAUAAUUAGAAAAUAAAUUACUUUUUUUAAACACAGCGUUACAAACAUCGGGUGCAUCAGAUUACUGUUCUCUGCAGGCCAGGGCCACACGGCUCAGGGAGGCCAGCGCAACAAGGACCUCAGGGAGCAAGCACACACCAGCCUGUCCCCACAGCCCCCAGAUGGUGACACCCCUCCCGCCUGCUCUGGGAGGCUCCCAGAAUCGAGCUGAAGACCACACUUGGCAGCUUCCAGAAGAUCUCAGCGAUGGAAAGGCUUCCUCCGGCGUCUCACCAGCAGUAGCGCAGACUAAAAAUAGUUUAAUCUCCUUGAAAGCAAAAGGAGCAAUCAGCAAAACAGACACUUGGGCCCACAUGCUCCCCCCAUUCCUCUCCUCGUUCUGCCCCCAUCCAUCCAAGCUGUCCCCAGCUAUGCAUUGUCAACUUCUACCCAUCCCAGGAUAGUGCCCCACAGCCUCUGAGGAGGGCAGCUAUUGCCCAUCGUCCAGGACUCCUCAUGUCUGCAGCCC